CUACGGGUGGCUCCAGUGGGGAAUAUUGCACAAUGGAGGAAACUCUGAUGCAGCAACGCCGCGCGGAGGAUGACACUUUUCGGAGCGUAAACUCCUUUUAUAUAGGAAGAAGAUGACGGUACUAUAUGAAUAAGCGCCGGCUAACUCCGUGCCAGCAGCCGCGGUAAUACGGAGGGCGCAAGCGUUACUCGGAAUCACUGGGCGUAAAGAGCGUGUAGGCGGAUUAAAAAGUCAGAAGUGAAAUCCUAUAGCUUAACUAUAGAACUGCUUCUGAAACUCUUAAUCUAGAAUAUGGGAGAGGUAGAUGGAAUUUCUGGUGUAGGGGUAAAAUCCGUAGAGAUCAGAAGGAAUACCGAUUGCGAAGGCGAUCUACUAGAACAUUAUUGACGCCGAGACGCGAAAGCGUGGGGAGCAAACAGGAUUAGAUACCCUAGUAGUC
rnacentral:rRNA from 1 species